AGACAUGAGCAUGCAUUUGAUGAUAAUUUGGCUAACAUAAAAGUUGAAAUUCCAUCUUUUCAGUGACAAACAGAUCUUGAUGCAUAUUUGGCAUGGGAGAGUAAAGUUGAGCAUAUUUUCGAGUGUUAUAAUUACUCAGAACAAAAGAAGGUUCAUUUGGAAACAAUGGAGUUUGUUGAUUACGCUUUCAUUUGGUGGGAUCAAUUGUUGAUCAAUUGGAAAGAAGAGAA